UUCUUUUUCAGGUAAAUCAGGUACAUUUUUGGUUUGGAUCCAUUGCUGAUGAGCUAGUGUGAUUUUGGGGGGAUAUUAAAGAGUCAUAUUAGCAGAGAUGUUUUGCCAUAUUACCAGAGUUGUUUUUCUGGUUCCUCCUUAUUUGGGUAGGCUUUGUCAGAGGGAAAGUCUAGAACUGAAGGCUGUUCAGAUUCUUUUGUCCCAUGAGGUAUUCCCUUAAUGUAGUACUCUUCCCCUUUUCCUGUGGAUGUGGCUUCCUGUGAGCUGAGCUGCAGUGAUUGUUAUCUCUCUUCCAGGUCUAGCCAUGCAGCAAGUCUACCCAGCUCCAGGCUGGUACUUGGGGUUGUCUUCACAGAGUCCUGCAAUGUGAACUGUCAAUAGAUCUCUCAGACAUGGAUGCCAGCACAUUAUUUGGAUGUCUCCUGGGUCCUGCAGGAGCAGUCUAUUUUCUUCAGAGGUUCUAUGGGUCCUCUCUGGAUUUCUGGUUUGUUCUUACAGUCAUUCUGGAGCUAAAAUUCACUGUGAGAGCCUCUGCAUGCUGCUCUGAGUCGGAACUGCAAUCUAGUCCUACCGUCUCAUCUGCCAUCUAUUUUCACUGCAAUUAUUUGAGAUGAAAUUUUAUCAUGAGAGAAUCUUUGGACUUUGAGCCUUGGCAGAGUUGGACUGCUACAGAAACCACCACAGUCUGGCAUGAAUUAAGUCCCACUGCAGAGGUGAACUGGAGCCAAGAUUUCAACCUCCAAAUGAUUACUGCUGGGGGAAAAAGGCUCUGGGCCAUGCUGACAAUGAAUAUCAGCUGCUCUGGAUGGACCUCCUAGGAUGAAGGAAGGGGAAGUGGUGCUGACAGCAAGCAGGAGAAGAGGACCCAACAGCUGGCUGCUCUUCAUCCCUCACAGAAUGGCACGGAAAGAGAGCAAAUAAUUUCAAAAUAUCUGGAAAAACAUUUAGACAGCACAGACAAUUUAUUUGGAACCUCCAUAUCAGGAAAUUGCUUCUCUAAUGCAGUGACUUACUACUGAAAAGAAAGAAAAAAUCUCUCAUGUUUGCAAAAUUCACUUUGCACAGUGCCUCAAACUUAGACCUAGUGGUCUAAUGAGAAUGUGGCUCAUUAAAUUUCUCACAGGGAGGGAAGGGACCCAGGAAGUGUCCCCCAGAUCUGGUUCACAGCCUAAGGGAAAAACGCCUAUGCCUUACUAUCAAAGGGUAUAAGAAAAUAGCAUUAAUCUCCAUUGUCCUGAUUAAUCACUCCUAAAGGUAUAAACAGGAAAUUCAGGCCUGUUACCACCCUCCUAGGAGUGCCAGCAUAUUUUACAGUCCACAAAAUCCUGCGCAAAUCUCCCUUCCCUGUUCACACCUCAGAGACACAAGAGUAAGCCAAGUUUUUUGAACCAUGAUUUUGCUAUUCAUAUAUAUCGAAGCGCUUUCAUGUUCUCACAAAACUUGAGGCCCUGAAAGUAAGAUUUAUGCCCUGCCAGGAAAACUGGGUUUAAUGUAGUCCCACUACUGCUAUUGAGUAAACUCUUCAGAAGAGCCAUCAAGUCUUAAGAAAUCAGACAUAGCAGAGCCCCUACAGAACUAAAACACAUUUCCCCCUAACCAGGAUUCACCUGCACUUCAGGCUGAGACUUUUUUCCUAGGGCUCAAUACCCACCUCCUGCCUGGUGAGGUAUCUUUCCUCCCAAGCGCCCUCAACACCUUUUACACAUCUGCCAUGAUAUGUAACUUCUUGUACUGAAAUUGUCUAAUGAUAUAUUUGUCUCUCCCCAAUUACACCACACUGUCCUUGAGCAGGAAACAGAAUCGUUUUCGGUUUUAUUAGGUUGGUGCAAAAGUAAUUGCGGUUGUGCACUGCAAUUACCUUUGCACCAACGUAAUAGUUUCCCAGUGCUUACAAUACAUAGUAGGUGCUAGUUAAUAUUUGUUGAAUUGAAUGGAAUUGAAUUCAUCUGAGCCAGUUUCCUGCCCAGCCUGGAAUGGCACUGGGACAGGUGUCAUACAAGGCUCCACACCCAGCUAUGGUGCCAUUCUGGUGACCUUUAGUAAGCCAUUCCCUAUGGCAGAUAUCAUUACUGUACAACCCAGGAAUCAUAAAAGCUGCCACCUGGAUCAGUAGAAACAAUAAAAACAUAUAUCCCUUUCUAUAAAGUACCCUAAGCUCUUCAGAGGAGAGAAGGAUGUGUUUGGUUCAAGGUUUUUACGAAGAAGAUGGUAUAUUAGCCAGCCCAGUAGAAUCUCACAAAUAGGACAGGACUUUACUACAUGGCAUAUACUUUUUUAAAAAAAUAAACUUUUUCAUUUAGAAAAGUUUUAGAUUUCCAGAAAAAUUGCAAAUAUAGUAAAGCGAGUUCCCAACUGUUCUGCACCAGUUUCCCUUUCAUUGACAUCUUACAUUAGCAUGGUUCAUUUGCCACAAUUAAUGAGCCAAUACUGAUGCAUUAUGAUUAACUAUAUUCAGAUUUCCUUAGGUUUUACCUGGUGUCCUUUUUCUGUUCCAGGAUCCCAUCCAGGAUACUAUGUUACAAAUAAUUCUCAUGUCUCUUCUUGGUGGUGACACUUUCACGGGUUUUCCUUGUUCUUGAUGACUGUGACAGUUUUAAGGAGUGCUGGUCAGGUAUUUUGUAGGAUGCCCCUCAAUUGGGAUUUGUUUGAAGCUUUUCUUAUAUUAGACUACAUUAUGGGUUUAAGGGAGGAAGAUUACGGAAGUAAAAGUCCUGGAGAAAUGGCCUUGGAGUCACGAGCCAGAGGCUCUCCUGGGCGUUUGAUAGUGAGCUGAGAUGAAGGAAGGACCAACCAAAAGCAACAAGCCUCUGGCAUGGAAGACAGAACAACCUGGGUAGCUGAUGCAGUGGAAGACAUCACCUAAGGGAUUUUAUUAUCUUUUGUGAGUAAUGAAAGACUGGCAUGUGGAAUAACAAGAUUGAAAUAUGACCACAAUCAAAGGCACCUGAGCAAAGAAACACACCCAGGCCCUUCUGAGUGGUUGAGCCUUGAAAAGUAAAGGCAGAUAGUGGACAGUUUUUAAAUAUGAGACAAGAGUAGUGGGUGGUGGCUAGGACCAUGGAGUCACCUGGCUCUGCCACCUUCUCUCCUAAUGACUUUGAGUAGGUCACUUCACCAUUUGUGCCUCAGGGUGAUUAUCUCUAAAAGGCAAAUACAACAGUACCUUGCAAAGUUUUGUGAGGAUUAAGUAGGAUGAUAUCAGUAAGCACUUAAAAUGGUGCCUUGCCUAUAAUGAGUGCUUAAAAAAUAUUAGCUGUUAUUAUUAAAUUAAGAUGUGAGCAGAGCUCACUGGAGAGUCAUCCUAAAGUUAAGACCCAAAGGCUCAGAGGCUUUUAAAUAAAUUAGCUGGGGGAAAAAUAGAUUUCUUGAAAAAAUUCAGGAAAUUUCCCUUUAAAAAUCAAAAAGACUUAGUUACAACCCCCACACACCUGCUGGCAGGUGUAGCCAAUCACAGCAGGAGAGGGCAGAUGCCUGGAGUUUCUCAGGAGCAUGGCUCAGACCUCCUCAUGUCUUAUCCCACACGAUUUAAAUUUAGAAUCCUAUUCAGAGGACAAUUAACCAAAACUAAGUAUAUUGUACUGUCUAGGGUCAUGAACUAGAACAAAGCCAACUUGGCCUUUAUUGGAACAGUGAACUUGGGACUCCAGCUCUUGAACCAGCCAGCAAAUGACCUGUUAACUCAAGCAAGUUUCGACUUGCACCCUCAUCUCAGAGCUCUGGUCUUUCAUCUCUGAAGAAGAUGAUGGGAAAUGUGAUUUCUCCUCUUCAUACUCCUUUUCUCAUUUAUUCUGCGGGUGUUAUAUUAUAGGUGGUACAAGUGAAUAAUAACAAUAGAGGAUUCAUUGAGCCUUUAGUCUGUGUUGGCUACAAUUCUAAGCUCUUUACAUAUAUUAACUCAUUUAAUCCUUGUAACAGGUCUCUGAGUCAAUACUGUUAUCGGGUCCAUUUUUACAGAUGAGUAAACUGAGGUAUAGAGAAAUGAGUUGCUAAAAGUCUCAUAGCUAUAACAUGGCUAUAUUAGUUGUGACUAGGCUUGGUUGUAUGAAAACUCAAAUAACAUGGUUUAAUCAAUUAAUCAAGUUAUAGUUUAAUUGUCUCUGGAGUAAAUGAAGAUAGAAGGUAGGUGGUCAACAGUUGGAAUGGAAGCUCCACCAUCCUUAGAUUCAGGCUCCUCCCUCUUUCCUCUCCAGCCAUUUUAGUGAAUGACUUCUAUCCUCAGGUUCUCCUCAGUAGUCCAAGAUGGUGGUUGGAUGUCAGGUAUCAGAACGGUAUUUCAGUUAGAAGGAAAGGAAAGAGAGGGCAAUAUGGCUCUCCCAGAAGCUGGACAUAAAAACUUCCAUUGAUACCUCAUUGGUCAACUCUUUCUGCAAAGAAAGCUGCAAAACGGCUUUUCUUUUUUUUUUAAGUUGGGCACAUUUCUCAAAGUUCUGUUACAAAGAAGGAGGAAACGUAAAUAUUGAACCCAUGUACCAUAAAAUACAGUUUCUUGGACUAUAACUGUGGUGUUGGUUGGCAGGUGAAGACAUAACUGUGUCACUGUAUUUAUUUCCCACUAGGAAUAGUCAUUUAGAAAAUAUAAAUAAGGUGGUGCACAUAAUUUUAAAAAUUAGAACCUUAGUAAAGCUUCCAGGUUUCCCUUAAGCACAAUAGAUUUAUAAUUAAGAAAAUUCUUUAACUUCAUAGUAUUUAAAUGGUUAUUUGAGACUCUUAAAUUUAAGAGUAAAGGAAAGGCAAAGGGGUGUUUGAGUAAAAUUAUUUUUCUCCUUAUUUUUAUUCUGAAAUUUUAAUUUGAAGCUUUUCUCCCCACAAGGCAUUAUUCUCAGGUUUCUCUUUCAAAAUAUUCAGUACUAAAGCUUUCAUUUGUCUUCUAAAUAAAACAAGGGAAAACAACAUUUGAAUUAGAUGGUUAGAUAGUUUUUAGUUGGAUUAUAGUAUACCAGAUUGUGGCUAACACUUUUGACCUCAGUUUCUCCCAUUGUAAAGUAAGUAUAUUUAUUCAUUUGUUCAUUUAUUCGUUGAGUAAAUACUUUUUGGACUCAAUAUGUGUUAGAUAUUAAUACUUUAUAUUUGAUAGUCAUUUUUGUUUCAUUGUUAACCAAAAAAUGGGAUAAUAUGUAACAAAUUAUUUACAGCUUGUUACUCUUACUCAAUGAGUAGUUUUACAGUUAAAUAAAAAGUGUUUCUUUUCAUAAGAGUAAACCAAAUUUGUCUUAAGAGAAUACUGAAAAAGAAAGGUAAAAUUCCAUUUGGAAUCACAAGAAAUUCAAAUAGUUCAAAUAAGUACGUAUCACACUGAGAAUAUUUUAUAUUAUAAAUCUUUAAAGAUAAGCAUAUUGGAAGGAAAACGUCAACAGUUUUCCUUUUCAAGAGUAAACAAAUGCCUUGUGAAACACAAAGUUCUCCCCUAGCAAGUUGGUGAAAUGCUAAAAUAGAUAUAUUUGCAGAAAAUAUGCUUAUCACUUAUAUUAAUGUAUCCAUAUUGUUUCUCUAAGGGAAUAUUUAUAAAUAUUGCUACUGCAUUCCAGAAAUGUGUUGAGAAGAAAAUCAUAGUAGAAGAUUCUUCUGCAACGGAAAAUAUAAUAAAAAUAUUUUCCCUGAUAGCAUUCAAAACCAUGCAUGUCACAGUAAAUGAAGAGGUAUUAAUUCAGAAAAAGAGCCUCAGGCUGUGGCUGGGCUGUUGUGGGUUAUAUUUGGUCUGUUAUUAAUUCUGAUUACCUUCUGACCCUAGACAAGCCUUUCAAACUAUUGAGCUCUUCAUCUUUGUUUGCCAGAGUGCACAGCCAACAGAGCUGUGGGAGGAACUUCAGAACACCUAGGAGCUGCAGAGCACCAGUCAGAGAUGUGCUUAAAUGUUGUGGGCAUUGGGGAAAGGAGCCACAAAAGUGGUUUGAGUCCUUAAAAUAGAGUAUAUUCACUUCAAAUCACAAAAGACACAGAAGCCUCCAUUUCAAAUAUGGAUUCAGAAAAGAAGUUAAUGAAGAAAAGCAGAGUCCAUGAGAAGGGAAGCAUCAAGAACACCAAGACUUGGAAAAAGAUAGCUCUCUAGGAGAAGAAUAUGGUAGUUAUUUUUUUUUUAGGCAGAAAAUCAGUUAACAAAUACAAUUCUCAACAUA